CAAUGUAUCAACGUGUAAAUAAAUUUGUGAUAACUUAGAUUGCAUUUGGAUGAAAAAGAAUGUAGAAAGAACUGUGAUGUAAAAAGUAUGAAUGUGAAUGUUUGUAAUAAUAUAGGAUGUGUUUAUAUUGUUUGAUACCUUCCAUUAUGCAAUCUUGAUUGAUAUCAGUUCCUGGUUGGAACCUUCGUAUUGUAUGGAUUGCGUUGCCUUGAAUGUACAGGGGAGACUCUGUC
rnacentral:lncRNA from 1 species